AUUUCAGUUAGACAGGAUUCCAGUUCUCUUGCAUCAACUGAUACCCUUUCAGAUGUGUCAUCCCCAGAACGUCUGAGCAGAUGGCCUCCAGGUCCUUUACAAAUUCCCACAUUUGCAUUUGACGUUGAGCUGACACUUAGAGAUGGGAAUGCUGAAUUUGAAAAGAAUGAGAGACCUCUUCAGUUGUCAAGGGACCAAAAGCACAAUAUUUUAGACAAACUGGCAUCUACCAUAUAUGGUUUUAAGGCUUACCCCAGUGAUAAAGAGAUAGCAAUGGUGGCUGAAGCUCUUGUGAGGAAACACCCCUGUUUAAUAGAAGCAGGAUCUGACAAUGGAUGGGAUGGGUGGAAAAACAGCAUCAAGUUUAAAAUGGGCAAUUACAGGACCAAGAUGAGAAGGGCUGGAUGUCAGGAGGUCGCUGUAAAUGCUGGGAAAAGAAGCCGAAAAAACCCUGAGAAUGAACCUUCACACUCCAACAUCAAAAGGCCUAAGUGUGCAGAGGUCAACUUUCUGCCUAACUUUCCUCAAGGAGAGGAUCCCUCAAGCCUUGACCUUUUGAGGCAGGCUAUUGUCGAGGAAGUAAAGAAGACUGAGAGAAACCUACCCCUUAUUAGUAAGAUGAUGCAGAACACGUUUGCCUUGCGACGACAGACUAUUGUAAUGUCCUGCCCACCGGUGAAAGAGCUAAUGGACCUCUGGCCUGCUCUUCAUAUGCAGUCUGAGGUAAAAUCAUCAUCAAUUUAAUAAAUAAAUUCAUUUUGUAGGUUAUUUUUUCUGUUUUUAUCUUUGCUACUGUAUGUCACAUUGUGUGUAAUGUUGCCUAAUUUCAUUCAUCCUAAAAUAAAUAAUUGCUGUUACUGUCCUUUCCUCAAUGGAGGUAUAUGUAGAGUUCCAACGGAUAACUAACCAGAACCUACCUAACACUUUCUAUGCCGAGCUUGAUCGCCACACUCCUCGUUUGAUGGCCUUAUUUAGACAGAAAGCUUCCAAAACUGAAAAGACUGCAGAUGCUUUGGCAAACAUUUUCAAAGUCCAUGAUACACAGGAAUUACAUGAUGUCCACACAAAUGCGUACCACUGUUCUCCAUGCCCUUCCUGAUUAUCUACUAGAGGAAGUCUCUGGAUUUUUCAGAACAUGUGUGGAUGAUAUGGAUGAGCCAGACCUGUGGGAUGCAUCAGUGGUCCUCCUUACAACAGUCAGUGAUGAUGCCACAAGCCCAGUUCACUACCACCCAGUGAGAGUCUCUGUCGUCCUAGAGGGUGAUGUGGUUGUCAAUCUCCCCAGGCUUGCUGAUGCCUUCCUGGUAAUGUUCGGCCUGAUUUAUGCACUACAUCUCAGCUAUCCCAAGGGACUGACAAACACUUUUGAGUUCACACAGAAAAUCUUGCUUGGUCUUGAUGACUCUAAACUGUCACCCAAGCUGCAGACUCUUAAAAAUGAGCUGAUGUUGUAUGUGUAACUGAAGAUCCAAAAAGGAGUGGUGGAUUCUGAUGGCUCACUCUGUUAGAGCAUAAUCCAUAAUGAGAAUAUGUCAUGUCAGGUCCAUGUUGAAUACUGUUCAACUGUUUAUGUUAAAGUUGCUGCUCUACUCAACUGGUUUUCAGCCAAAUGGCACAAAGUACACACUGUCUUUGUACGUUUUAAUGUACAUUUUAUUGUUGUUAAAACUGAAAUUCAGGGUUGAAUUAAGUGUUUAUAUAUGGAGGAUAUUUUUAUUCAUAAUUCAAAUUGAAAGGCCAAAGGGAAAACGAAGCGAGAUCAAAUAAAAAAUAUUAUUAUUUUACUACACUACUAGGAAAAAUCAUGCCAUAAUUAAAUUUAAAAUG